rnacentral:rRNA from 1 species
UACAGAGGGUGCAAGCGUUGUUCGGAAUCACUGGGCGUAAAGGGCGCGUAGGCGGGAUGGCAAGUCGGUCGUGAAAUCCUUCGGCUCAACCGAAGAACGUCGGCCGAUACUGCCGUUCUUGAGGGAUGCAGAGGAGAUUGGAAUUCCCGGUGUAGCGGUGAAAUGUGUAGAGAUCGGGAGGAACACCGGUGGCGAAGGCGGGUCUCUGGGCAUCUCCUGACGCUGAGGCGCGAAAGCGUGGGGAGCAAACGGG